UUUCAUAUAUGACUUUCAGCUAUCAACAAAAUCCUGAAGCAUGCGUUGCUGUUCACUGUGUAUGUGGCCUAGGUAGAGCACCAGUUUUAGUUGCAUUGGCGUUGAUCGAACUUGGUCUCAAAUAUGAGGCAGCUGUCGAAAUGAUCAGAGAUAGACGGCGAGGCGCUAUUAACGCUAAACAACUCUCCUAUUUAGAGCGGUAUAGGCCAAAGUCAAGGCUUAAGCACAAAAAUGGCCACAAAAAUUCAUGUAGCGUGCAAUAGAUAUCAAAAUAAAACUCCCACCAGAUAAAAAGUGUUCAUUUCAACCGAUAAACAAACAAGAAAAAUAAUAAUUAUUUAAAAAAAAAAUCAAAAAACAACUUAAUGAGCAACCUAUCCAAAAAUCAAAACGAAAAACACUUAUUCAGUUGAGAAAGAAAGAGUUUGUGUUUUUUGAUUGUUAAGAAAUAAUGUGGAAAAGAAUAUCGGUUGAAAAGUAGAUAAACAUGAAAAAUAGUAAAAUAUUUAACUAUAAAACCAAUGAUUGUAUCAAAAUGAAAUACUUGCAAUUAACAAAAACAAUUAUCUUCCCUCUAUAAACCCAACCCAACUCUCCACAAUAACCCUCUGUAUUUGCGCAUCACUAUUCAAUUGUUAUUAAAACAAAAAUCCUCUCCCUCUCC